UACGUAGGUGGCAAGCGUUGUCCGGAUUUACUGGGCGUAAAGGGCGCGUAGGCGGCCUUCUAAGUCAGACGUGAAAUCCCCAGGCUUAACUUGGGAACUGCGUCUGAUACUGGGAGGCUUGAGUGCGGGAGAGGGAUGUGGAAUUCCAGGUGUAGCGGUGAAAUGCGUAGAUAUCUGGAGGAACACCGGUGGCGAAGGCGGCAUCCUGGACCGACACUGACGCUGAGGCGCGAAAGCUAGGGGAGCAAACGGG
rnacentral:rRNA from 1 species